UUUGGUGGCGAUAGCGAAGAGGUCACACCCGUUCCCAUGCCGAACACGGAAGUUAAGCUCUUCAGCGCCGAUGGUAGUCGGGGGGUUCUCCCUGUGAGAGUAGGACGCCGCCAAGC
rnacentral:rRNA from 1 species